rnacentral:rRNA from 1 species
UACGGAGGGGGCAAGCGUUAUCCGGAAUUAUUGGGCGUAAAGCGCGCGUAGGCGGUUUGUUAAGUCUGAUGUGAAAGCCCCCGGCUCAACCGGGGAAGGGCAGUGGAAACUGGCAAACUUGAGUGGGGAAGAGGAAAGUGGAAUUCCAGGUGUAGCGGUGAAAUGCGCAGAGAUAUGGAGGAACACCAGUGGCGAAGGCGACUGCCUGGUCAGUAACUGACGCUGAGGUGCGAAAGCGUGGGGAGCAAACAGG